rnacentral:rRNA from 1 species
GAUGAACGCUGGCGGCGUGCCUAAUACAUGCAAGUCGAGCGAACGGACGAGAAGCUUGCUUCUCUGAUGUUAGCGGCGGACGGGUGAGUAACACGUGGAUAACCUACCUAUAAGACUGGGAUAACUUCGGGAAACCGUAGCUAAUACCGGAUAAUAUUUUGAACCGCAUGGUUCAAAAGUGAAAGACGGUCUUGCUGUCACUUAUAGAUGGAUCCGCGCUGCAUUAGCUAGUUGGUAAGGUAACGGCUUACCAAGGCAACGAUGCAUAGCCGACCUGAGAGGGUGAUCGGCCACACUGGAACUGAGACACGGUCCAGACUCCUACGGGAGGCAGCAGUAGGGAAUCUUCCGCAAUGGGCGAAAGCCUGACGGAGCAACGCCGCGUGAGUGAUGAAGGUCUUCGGAUCGUAAAACUCUGUUAUUAGGGAAGAACAUAUGUGUAAGUAACUGUGCACAUCUUGACGGUACCCAAUCAGAAAGCCACGGCUAACUACGUG